AUCGUUGGGGGCACAAUACGCCGCCUGCAAAAUCAGAGACUAACCGACGUUUUUUUAACUCGUCGGUUAUUUUUUUGC
rnacentral:sRNA from 1 species